rnacentral:rRNA from 2 species
GUGCAUGGUAGUCGUUAGUUCGGGUCAGGGGAUGUUGGGGUAUGUCCUGGAGCGCGCCCCACCCCCGUUCUUGGCUGCCAUCAUUCUGUUGCGCCCUCUAAGGUGGCUGCCGGUGACAAACCGGAGGGAGGUGGGGAUGACGUCAAAUCAUCAUGCCCCUUAUGACCUGGGCUACACACGUGCUACAAUGGACGGUACAAAGAGCUGCAAGACCGCGAGGGGGAGCUAAUCUCAUAAAACCGUUCUCAGUUCGGAUUGUAGGCUGCAACUCGCCUACAUGAAGCUGGAAUCGCUAGUAAUCGCGGAUCAGCAUGCCGCGGUGAAUACGUUCCCGGGCCUUGUACACACCGCCCGUCACACCACGAGAGUUUGUAACACCCGAAGUCGGGGGGGUAACCUUUUGGAGCCAGCCGCC